UCAACCNUUGUAGGCUUUGGAAACUGUUUAACUNGAGUGCAGAAGGGGAGAGUGGAAUUCCAUGUGUAGCGGUGAAAUGCGUAGAUGUAUGGAGGAACACCGGUGGCGAAAGCGGCUCUNUGGUCUGUAACUGACGCUGAGGCUCGAAAGCGUGGGGAGCGAACAGGAUUAGAUACCCUGGUAGUNCACGCCGUAAACGAUGAGUGCUAGGUGUUAGGUCCUUUCCGGGACUUAGUGCCGCAGCUAACGCAUUAAGCACUCCGCCUGGGGAGUACGACCGCAAGAUUGAAACUCAAAGGAAUUGACGGGGGCCCGCACAAGCGGUGGAGCAUGUGGUUUAAUUCGAAGCAACGCGAAGAACCUUACCAGGUCUUGACAUCCCGAUGCCCGCUCUAGAGAUAGAGCUUUACUUCGGUACAUCGGUGACAGGUGGUGCAUGGUUGUCGUCAGCUCGUGUCGUGAGAUGUUGGGUUAAGUCCCGCAACGAGCGCAACCUUUAUUGUUAGUUGCCAUCAUUCAGUUGGGCACUCUAGCGAGACUGCCGGUAAUAAACCGGAGGAAGGUGGGGAUGACGUCAAAUCAUCAUGCCCCUUAUGACCUGGGCUACACACGUGCUACAAUGGCUGGUACAACGAGUCGCAAGCCGGUGACGGCAAGCUAAUCUCUGAAAGCCAGUCUCAGUUCGGAUUGUAGGCUGCAACUCGCCUACAUGAAGUCGGAAUCGCUAGUAAUCGCGGAUCAGCACGCCGCGGUGAAUACGUUCCCGGGCCUUGUACACACCGCCCGUCACACCACGGGAGUUUGUAACACCCGAAGUCGGUGAGGUAACCGUAAG
rnacentral:rRNA from 1 species